GGCUCAGAUUGAACGCUGGCGGCAUGCCUUACACAUGCAAGUCGAACGGCAGCACGGGAGCAAUCCUGGUGGCGAGUGGCGAACGGGUGAGUAAUAUAUCGGAACGUGCCCAGUAGUGGGGGAUAGCCGGCGAAAGCCGGAUUAAUACCGCAUACGACUACGGGUGAAAGCGGGGGAUCGCAAGACCUCGCGCUAUUGGAGCGGCCGAUAUCAGAUUAGCUUGUUGGUGGGGUAAAAGCCUACCAAGGCGACGAUCUGUAGCUGGUCUGAGAGGACGACCAGCCACACUGGGACUGAGACACGGCCCAGACUCUACGGGAGGCAGCAGUGGGGAAUUUUGGACAAUGGGCGCAAGCCUGAUCCAGCCAUGCCGCGUGUGGGAAGAAGGCUUCGGGUUGUAAACCACUUUUGUCAGGGAAGAAACGGCUCUUACUAAUAUUAGGAGCUAAUGACGGUACCUGAAGAAUAAGCACCGGCUAACUACGUGCCAGCAGCCGCGGUAAUACGUAGGGUGCAAGCGUUAAUCGGAAUUACUGGGCGUAAAGCGUGCGCAGGCGGCUAUGCAAGACAGAUGUGAAAUCCCCGGGCUCAACCUGGGAACUGCAUUUGUGACUGCAUGGCUAGAGUACGGUAGAGGGGGAUGGAAUUCCGCGUGUAGCAGUGAAAUGCGUAGAUAUGCGGAGGAACACCGAUGGCGAAGGCAAUCCCCUGGACCUGUACUGACGCUCAUGCACGAAAGCGUGGGGAGCAAACAGGAUUAGAUACCCUGGUAGUCCACGCCCUAAACGAUGUCAACUGGUUGUUGGACGGCUUGCUGUUCAGUAACGAAGCUAACGCGUGAAGUUGACCGCCUGGGGAGUACGGCCGCAAGG
rnacentral:rRNA from 1 species